CAGAACAUCUGUGGCCAUGGACAGUGUGUGCCUGGCCCCUCGGAUUACUCCUGCCACUGCAACCCGGGCUACCGGUCACAUCCACAGCACCGAUAUUGUGUUGAUGUGAACGAGUGUGAGGCAGAGCCCUGCGGUCCCGGGAGAGGCAUCUGCAUGAACACUGGUGGCUCCUAUAAUUGUCACUGCAACCGAGGCUACCGCCUCCACGUGGGUGCAGGGGGCCGCUCGUGCGUGGGUGAGCGCCACCAGCCCUUGGCUAACCCGGGUAUACUGGGUGGGACCAGCUCCUACUGCCCGCCCCACGCCCCAUCGCACCCUAUCUUUGCUCAGACCUAAACGAGUGCGCCAAGCCUCAUCUGUGUGGUGACGGUGGCUUCUGCAUCAACUUUCCUGGUCACUACAAAUGCAACUGCUAUCCUGGCUA
rnacentral:lncRNA from 1 species